rfam:Gossypium hirsutum cultivar TM-1 unplaced genomic scaffold scaffold26.1, whole genome shotgun sequence
UAUUAAAAUUUUUGUCUAUUUAUAUUGUUAAAAAUUGGCGUAACUAAUGGAAUAACUAGAUAAUGAAACACGGUUUGCCACAUGUACAUCAUGUUGAUGUAAGACUAGUUUUUAACAGUAAAAAAUAGAAUAAAUUUUUAACA